CGCGAAGAACCUUACCAGGUCUUGACAUCCUUUGACCAUCCUAGAGAUAGGUGGUUCCCUUCGGGGACGCAGAGACAGGUGGUGCAUGGCUGUCGUCAGCUCGUGUCGUGAGAUGUUGGGUUAAGUCCCGCAACGAGCGCAACCCUUGUCUUUAGUUGCCAUCAUUAAGUUGGGCACUCUAGAGAGACUGCCGGUGACAAACCGGAGGAAGGUGGGGAUGACGUCAAGUCAUCAUGCCCCUUAUGACCUGGGCUACACACGUGCUACAAUGGACGGUACAACGAGAAGCGAACCUGCGAAGGCAAGCGGAUCUCUUAAAGCCGUUCUCAGUUCGGACUGUAGGCUGCAACUCGCCUACACGAAGCUGGAAUCGCUAGUAAUCGCGGAUCAGCACGCCGCGGUGAAUACGUUCCCGGGUCUUGUACACACC
rnacentral:rRNA from 1 species